ACGGGUGAGUAACGCGUGAGUAACCUGCCUUUCAGAGGGGGAGUAACGUUUUGUAAAAGAAACGCUAAUACCGCAUGAAAUCAAGGAACUGCANGGUUUUUUGAUCAAAGGAGCAAUCCGCUGAGAGAUGGACUCGCGUCCGAUUAGCCAGUUGGCGGGGUAACGGCCCACCAAAGCGACGAUCGGUAGCCGGACUGAGAGGUUGAACGGCCACAUUGGGACUGAGACACGGCCCAGACUCCUACGGGAGGCAGCAUG
rnacentral:rRNA from 1 species